GAUGAACGCUGGCGGCGUGCCUAACACAUGCAAGUCGAGCGAUUCUCUUCGGAGAAGAGCGGCGGACGGGUGAGUAACGCGUGGGUAACCUGCCCUGUACACACGGAUAACAUACCGAAAGGUAUGCUAAUACGAGAUAAUAUGCUUUUAUCGCAUGGUAGAAGUAUCAAAGCUCCGGCGGUACAGGAUGGACCCGCGUCUGAUUAGCUAGUUGGUAAGGUAACGGCUUACCAAGGCGACGAUCAGUAGCCGACCUGAGAGGGUGAUCGGCCACAUCGGAACUGAGACACGGUCCAAACUCCUACGGGAGGCAGCAGUGGGGAAUAUUGCACAAUGGGCGAAAGCCUGAUGCAGCAACGCCGCGUGAGCGAUGAAGGCCUUCGGGUCGUAAAGCUCUGUCCUCAAGGAAGAUAAUGACAGUACUUGAGGAGGAAGCCCCGGCUAACUACGUGCCAGCAGCCGCGGUAA
rnacentral:rRNA from 1 species